AACGUAGGUGGCAAGCGUUAUCCGGAUUUACUGGGCGUAAAGCGUGUGCAGGCGGGGGGACAAGUGGGGUAUGAAAUUUCCCAGCUUAACUGGGAAGGGUUAUGCCAGACUGUACUUCUGGAGUGCGAGAGAGGGGCGUGGAAUUCCGGGUGUAGUGGUGAAAUGCGUAGAGAUCCGGAGGAACACCAGAGGCGAAGGCGGCCUACUGGGCUGCACCUGACGCUGAGCCGCGAAAGCCAGGGGAGCGAACGGG
rnacentral:rRNA from 1 species